GGGGAAGCAGCCUGCGUGGCACAGCGUGCACUGAAACCUCUCCUGCGGUGCGGACGAACCCCUCCUCCACUCAUUACAAUUAAAAUCGGCGCAAAAAAGAAGAAGGUUGAAGGUUUUACGCCUCUUUGAGCCGCGCCUGGGAGAGAGCUGCACCCCCGUGGUGCCGGCAGCGCGCAGCAGGCGGAGGCUCAGCACCGCCUCACCGCUCCUCCCCUUGCGCAGGUGCAGCGCUGAGAUGCCACAAAUGCGUCGCAUCCAACGAGAACGACUGCAACAAGCAGGGCUCGCACAGCUGCCCUCAGUACGCGGACGCCUGCUCCACCAUCACUGCGCCCAACAGCAUCAUCAAGUCCUGCUCCUACAAGUCCUUUUGUGACCAGGCACGGCGCAGCUCCGGGGGAGCCACCCUGCACUGCUGCUUCGGCGACGACUGCAAUGGGCCGCGGGGCUCACGCAGCUCUGGGGCAGCCACGAUGCCACAGCUUCCCUGCCUGCUGGCUGCAGGGCUGGCAGGGACGCUGCUGCUGGGUGUGCCGUGAUGGGCACAGCACGGCCAGGGGGUGGCACGGCCAUGGGGGUGGCACAGCAUAGCAUCUCAGUGCAGUAGUGCAAGCCUUGCUCACCAGGAGCACGGCACGUAGAGACGCUCAAAUAAAGGCUGAAGCUGAAAGCCA